rnacentral:rRNA from 1 species
GAUGAACGCUAGCUACAGGCUUAACACAUGCAAGUCGAGGGGAAACGACAUCGAAAGCUUGCUUUUGAUGGGCGUCGACCGGCGCACGGGUGAGUAACGCGUAUCCAACCUGCCCAUCACUUGGGAAUAACCUUGCGAAAGUAAGACUAAUACCCAAUGACAUCCCACGAAGACAUCUGAAUGGGAUUAAAGAUUUAUCGGUGAUGGAUGGGGAUGCGUCUGAUUAGCUUGUUGGCGGGGUAACGGCCCACCAAGGCAACGAUCAGUAGGGGUUCUGAGAGGAAGGUCCCCUACAUUGGAACUGAGACCCGGUCCAAACUGCUACGGGAGGCAGCAGUGAGGAAUAUUGGGCAAUGGGCGAGAGCCUGAACCAGCCAAGUAGCGUGCAGGAGGACGGCCCUAGGGGUUGUAAACUGCUUUUAUAAGGGAAUAAAGUGGGUCUCGUGAGACUUUUUGCAUGUACCUUAUGAAUAAGGACCGGCUAAUUCCGUG